AAGAAAGUGGCAGAGCGGGUUUGCGGUCGGCUUGAAAUCGACAUAUGGGGGUUCGACUCCCUUCUUUCUCG
rnacentral:tRNA from 1 species